rnacentral:rRNA from 1 species
AUUGAACGCUGGCGGCAUGCCUUACACAUGCAAGUCGAACGGUAACGCGGGGCAACCUGGCGACGAGUGGCGAACGGGUGAGUAAUGCAUCGGAACGUGCACAGUAGUGGGGGAUAGCCCGGCGAAAGCCGGAUUAAUACCGCAUACGACCUACGGGUGAAAGGGGGGGAUCGCAAGACCUCUCGCUAUUGGAGCGGCCGAUGUCAGAUUAGGUAGUUGGUGGGGUAAAGGCCUACCAAGCCGACGAUCUGUAGCUGGUCUGAGAGGACGACCAGCCACACUGGGACUGAGACACGGCCCAGACUCCUACGGGAGGCAGCAGUGGGGAAUUUUGGACAAUGGGCGCAAGCCUGAUCCAGCCAUGCCGCGUGCGGGAAGAAGGCCUUCGGGUUGUAAACCGCUUUUGUCAGGGAAGAAAUCUUCUGAGCUAAUACCUCGGGAGGAUGACGGUACCUGAAGAAUAAGCACCGGCUAACUACGUGCCAGCCGCCGCGGUAAUAC